CUCUCUCAAACCUUCGGGUUUGGUAUUGAGUGAUACUCUGUCAAGGGUUAACUUGAAAUAUUGACUUAGCAAGAGUGUACUAAUAAGCAGUCUUUCUGAAAUAAUGUAUUAGGUUCUUCCAACUCGUUAUAUCAGCUAGGCAGGUUUAGAAGUAUUUUAGGCUCGGCUUAACAACAAUAAACUAAAAG
rnacentral:misc_RNA from 1 species